UAGUUGGUGGGGUAACGGCUCACCAAGGCCACGAUGCGUAGCCGACCUGAGAGGGUGAUCGGCCACAUUGGGACUGAGACACGGCCCAAACUCCUACGGGAGGCAGCAGUAGGGAAUCUUCCGCAAUGGACGAAAGUCUGACGGAGCAACGCCGCAUGAGUGAAGAAGGCCUUCGGGUCGUAAAACUCUGUUGCCGGGGAAGAACAAGUGCCGUUCGAACAGGGCGGCGCCUUGACGGUACCCGGCCAGAAAGCCACGGCUAACUACGUGCCAGCAGCCGCGGUAAUACGUAGGUGGCAAGCGUUGUCCGGAAUUAUUGGGCGUAAAGCGCGCGCAGGCGGCUUCUUAAGUCUGAUGUGAAAUCUUGCGGCUCAACCGCAAGCGGUCAUUGGAAACUGGGAGGCUUGAGUGCAGAAGAGGAGAGUGGAAUUCCACGUGUAGCGGUGAAAUGCGUAGAGAUGUGGAGGAACACCAGUGGCGAAGGCGGCUCUCUGGUCUGUAACUGACGCUGAGGCGCGGAAGCGUGGGGAGCAAACAGGAUUAGAUACCCUGGUAGUCCACGCCGUAAACGAUGAGUGCUAAGUGUUAGAGGGUUUCCGCCCUUUAGUGCUGCAGCUAACGCAUUAAGCACUCCGC
rnacentral:rRNA from 1 species